GGGGAUCGAAAGACCUUAUGCUUUUGGAGCGGCUGAUGUCUGAUUAGCUAGUUGGUAAGGUAAUGGCUUACCAAGGCGACGAUCAGUAGUUGGUCUGAGAGGACGACCAGCCACACUGGGACUGAGACACGGCCCAGACUCCUACGGGAGGCAGCAGUGGGGAAUUUUGGACAAUGGGCGCAAGCCUGAUCCAGCAAUGCCGCGUGAGUGAAGAAGGCCUUCGGGUUGUAAAGCUCUUUCAGUUGAAAAGAAAAAGUCGUGACUAAUAAUCAUGACUCAUGACGGUAUCAACAGAAGAAGCACCGGCUAACUACGUGCCAGCAGCCGCGGUAAUACGUAGGGUGCAAGCGUUAAUCGGAAUUACUGGGCGUAAAGGGUGCGCAGGCGGUUCUGUAAGUCAGAUGUGAAAUCCCCGGGCUUAACCUGGGAACUGCGUUUGAA
rnacentral:rRNA from 1 species